CCUACGGGAGGCAGCAGUGGGGAAUUUUGGACAAUGGGCGCAAGCCUGAUCCAGCCAUGCCGCGUGUGGGAAGAAGGCCUUCGGGUUGUAAACCACUUUUGUCAGGGAAGAAACGGCUUUUUCUAAUACAGAGAGCUAAUGACGGUACCUGAAGAAUAAGCACCGGCUAACUACGUGCCAGCAGCCGCGGUAAUACGUAGGGUGCAAGCGUUAAUCGGAAUUACUGGGCGUAAAGCGUGCGCAGGCGGCUUUGCAAGACAGAUGUGAAAUCCCCGGGCUCAACCUGGGAACUGCAUUUGUGACUGCAUGGCUAGAGUACGGUAGAGGGGGAUGGAAUUCCGCGUGUAGCAGUGAAAUGCGUAGAUAUGCGGAGGAACACCGAUGGCGAAGGCAAUCCCCUGGACCUGUACUGACGCUCAUGCACGAAAGCGUGGGGAGCAAACAGGAUUAGAUACCCUGGUAGUCCACGCCCUAAACGAUGUCAACUGGUUGUUGGACGGCUUGCUGUUCAGUAACGAAGCUAACGCGUGAAGUUGACCGCCUGGGGAGUACGGCCGCAAGGUUGAAACUCAAAUGAAUUGACGG
rnacentral:rRNA from 1 species